rnacentral:ncRNA from 2 species
UGACAGUUGNGGUUUUUAAUCAUCUACUGUUUGUCAUGGAUUUAGGGAACACGGUGCAAGACCGAGGCUGCCCCCGCAACUGUAAUUAAUAUGCAAAUAUUGAAAGCCAGAUACCGAUCCAUUUUAUGAAAUUAU